UACGGGGGGAGCAAGCGUUGUUCGGAUUUACUGGGCGUAAAGGGCGCGUAGGCGGCCAGCACAAGUCAGUUGUGAAAUCUCCGAGCUUAACUCGGAAAGGUCAACUGAUACUGUGCGGCUAGAGUGCGGAAGGGGCAACUGGAAUUCUUGGUGUAGCGGUGAAAUUCGUAGAUAUUCGGAAGAACACCAGUGGCGAAGGCGACUUACUGGACACAUAUUGACGCUGAGGUGCGAAAGCGUGGGGAGCAAACAGG
rnacentral:rRNA from 1 species